rnacentral:rRNA from 1 species
GACGAACGCUGGCGGCGUGCUUAACACAUGCAAGUCGAACGGAAAGGCCCUGCUUUUGUAGGGUGCUCGAGUGGCGAACGGGUGAGUAACACGUGAGUAACCUGCCCUUGACUUUGGGAUAACUUCAGGAAACUGGGGCUAAUACCGGAUAGGAGCUCCUGCUGCAUGGUGGGGGUUGGAAAGUUUCGGCGGUUGGGGAUGGACUCGCGGCUUAUCAGCUUGUUGGUGGGGUAGUGGCUUACCAAGGCUUUGACGGGUAGCCGGCCUGAGAGGGUGACCGGCCAAAUGGGGAGUGAGAGCCGGCCGAGGCCCAUGGGGGAGGAAGGGGGGGGGAAUUGUGCACAAGGGGCGAGAGCCUGAUGAAGGCCCGCCGGGUGGGGAAUGGCGGCUUUAGGGUUGAAAACCGUUUGCGCAUGAGACGAGGCGUGGGGAGGGGUAAGGGGUAAAAAACCCCGGUCAAACCGUG